rnacentral:tRNA from 1 species
GCAUUGGCGGGAUUUCGCCGUCUUCGUUUCUCUUUCUUCGCGGACGAACACGCGCCGGGGCUGCGCUGUGCGAUUGCAUUCGGCGCUGGUCGCCGGUCGACGCACGCAAGACCCUAAUCCUGAAAGGGAUAGCGUUAGGGCUUGUAGCUCAGUUGGUUAGAGCGCGCGCUUGAUAAGCGUGAGGUCGGAAGUUCAAGUCUUCCCAGGCCCACCACGCUUCGCCGUCGGCUUCGCAUGGCACCGCCAGGCAGAACGACGAGGCGAAGCGCGUCCGGCAUAGCCCGAAGGGCGACGCCGGACAGAAAGAGCGCUUCGUCUUCUGGUUACGGGGCCAUAGCUCAGCUGGGAGAGCGCGUGCUUUGCAAGCAUGAGGUCGUCGGUUCGAUCCCGUCUGGCUCCACCAGAUGGUUUGAUCACCGAGAUCUUGACCGUCGUCCGCGAAACAUCACUUCGCAUCCUGCUAGUCUGGAUAGACAGCAAGUUGCGUGUUUUCUGACAUCGUAAAGAGGAGAUCGAUCCGAGUUGGAUCGUGCAACAUAUCGUUGCGCGAGCCUUCAUUAUCUCCGGAUCAUUUCGGCGCUCGCUUCCCAGCCGUGAGGUUGGAUGCGGGUUGUAAAUGAUCCUUUUAGCGAAGCUUGACCGCCCUCGCUAUCGGAACGAUCCUUACGAAGCAAGCUGGUCUUUCUAGUCAAUGUCCCGGCUGUACGUAGCAUUCAUCGAGGGUGCGCGCCCGAGA